rnacentral:rRNA from 1 species
AACGAACGCUGGCGGCAGGCUUAACACAUGCAAGUCGAGCGCCCCGCAAGGGGAGCGGCAGACGGGUGAGUAACGCGUGGGAAUCUACCCAUCUCUACGGGAUAACGCAUGGAAACGUGUGCUAAUACCGUAUACGUCCUUCGGGAGAAAGAUUUAUCGGAGAUGGAUGAGCCCGCGUUGGAUUAGCUAGUUGGUGGGGUAAAGGCCUACCAAGGCGACGAUCCGUAGCUGGUCUGAGAGGAUGAUCAGCCACACUGGGACUGAGACACGGCCCAGACUCCUACGGGAGGCAGCAGUGGGGAAUAUUGGACAAUGGGCGCAAGCCUGAUCCAGCCAUGCCGCGUGAGUGAUGAAGGCCCUAGGGUUGUAAAGCUCUUUCACCGGUGAAGAUAAUGACGGUAACCGGAGAAGAAGCCCCGGCUAACUUCGUGCCAGCAGCCGCGGUAACAC